UACGAAGGGGGCUAGCGUUGCUCGGAAUCACUGGGCUUAAAGGGUGCGUAGGCUGUGCAGAAAGUUGGGUGUGAAAUACCUCGGCUUAACCGAGGAAUUGCGCCCAAAACUACUGUGCUCGAGGAAGAUAGAGGUGAGCGGAACUUAGGGUGGAGCGGUGAAAUGCGUUGAUAUCCUAAGGAACACCGGUGGCGAAAGCGGCUCACUGGAUCUUAUCUGACGCUGAGGCACGAAAGCCAGGGUAGCAAACGGG
rnacentral:rRNA from 1 species